GCAUGGCUGUGUCAGCUCGUGUCGUGAGAUGUUGGGUUAAGUCCCGUAACGAGCGCAACCCUUGUCCUUAGUUUACCAGCACGUUAUGUGGGCACUCUAAGGAGACUGCCGGUGACAAACCGGAGGAAGGUGGGGAUGACGUCAAGUCAUCAUGGCCCUUACGGCCUGGGCUACACACGUGCUACAAUGGUCGGUACAAAGGGUUGCCAAGCCGCGAGGUGGAGCUAAUCCCAUAAAACCGAUCGUAGUCCGGAUCGCAGUCUGCAACUCGACUGCGUGAAGUCGGAAUCGCUAGUAAUCGUGAAUCAGAAUGUCACGGUGAAUACGUUCCCGGGCCUU
rnacentral:rRNA from 1 species